UACAGAGGUCCCGAGCGUUGUUCGGAUUCACUGGGCGUAAAGGGUGCGUAGGUGGCAUGGUAAGUCAGGUGUGAAAUCUCGGAGCUCAACUCCGAAACUGCACUUGAUACUGCCUUGCUCGAGUACUGGAGAGGAGAUUGGAAUUUACGGUGUAGCAGUGAAAUGCGUAGAUAUCGUAAGGAAGACCAGUGGCGAAGGCGAAUCUCUGGACAGUUACUGACACUGAGGCACGAAGGCCAGGGGAGCAAACAGG
rnacentral:rRNA from 1 species